rnacentral:rRNA from 1 species
AUGGACGCGGCGGCGGCGGCUCCGGGCGCCGCGGCGGGAGGGCAGCAGCAGCAGCCCGCGCCUCCCCGGGCGGAGCGGCUCAACGCGGAGGUGCACACCCUGCUGAACCUGGAGGGCAUGCGGGCGCGCGCGGUGGGGCUCUACAAGGCCAUCUCCCGCAUCCUCGAGGACUUCGACGCCAUCGCCCGCGUCAACCCCAGCGGCUCCCCCAAGUGGCAGGACGUGCUCGGCCAGUUCUCCAUGGUGAGCAUGGAGCUCUUCAACAUCGUCGAGGACAUCAAGAAGGUGAACAAGGGGUUCGUCGUGUACCCCAGGAACGUCAACGCCGAGAACGCUGCAAUACUGCCUGUAAUGCUGUCGUCAAAGCUCUUGCCGGAGAUGGAAGUCGAGGAAACUACAAAGAGGGAACAGUUGUUGUCUGGAAUAACGAAUCUGCCCGUGCCUUCUCAAAUGGAAAAGUUAAAGGCUCGGAUAGACAUGAUUGCGAAUGCGUGUGAAACUGCUGAGAGAGUAAUCGCUGAGUGCCGUAAGACUCAUGGUCUAGGAACCCGUCAGGGGGCAAAUCUUGGUCCAAUGUUGGAUAAGGCACAAGCUGCAAAGAUACAGGAGCAGGAAAAUCUACUUAGAGCGGCAGUAAAUUAUGGUGAAGGAUUGCGGGUAUCGGGAGACCAAAGGCAGAUGCAUUCAUCUCUUCCUAGCCAUCUAAUUGAAGUACUUGCUACUGGAGACGGGGCUCAUAAUUUUGGUGAUAAUUCUGGCGCCUAUCCCAAAAAUACACCAGCAUUUUCACCUAAUAAUGUCAACGCCCAGGGAAAUCCAAUGCAGGCAUCUGGAGGACAAUUACUUGGCAGAUCUGCUCCAUCGCCUGGAACUGCCGGAACCCCUAAUUUUGAAAAUGUGUCUACUCCUCCAAUGCCAUAUGCUAACUCCCCUAGGUCAGGCACCAAUAUGAUGAAUACCCCUUCACCACAGCAACAUCUGACACCACAGCAGCAGAGGCAAAAGCUGAUGCAAGCAUCUCAGCAACAGCAGCAGCAGCUGAGGCCAUCAGCUGCUGGGAUGCUAGCACAGAGCUCGGUUCCUCAGUUACAAGAUCUACAGGGACAAGCUCAACAAAAAGUACAGGUCGCUGGCCAACAGCAAAUGCAGUACAGCCAAGCACAAGCCUUGUCACAGUUUCAGAAUAGGCAGAUGCAGGCUGCACGCAUGCAGCCAGGCAUGUCUCAGAGCCAACUGAACCAAGGAAAUCAGUUGAGAAGCCAUUUGGGCCAGUUCACUGGAGCUGCAAACAGUGCAAUGUUUACUGCUGCACAGGCAUCUUCAAACUCACAAAUGAUGGCAAACAUACCUGGGACUAUGCAAACAAUGCAGUCACAGUCAAUGAUGCCACAAAUGCAGCAGUUUGGUUUGACUGGUGGGCAUCCUCAGAGGAGUCAUCAAAUGAUGACCGACCAAAUGUACGGAAUGGGAGGCGCAAAUACCACGAGCAUGAUGGGAAUGCAAAUGCAGCAGCAGCAGCAGCAGCAGCAAGGGCUAUAUGGGAACAUGCAAGGAGGCGGUCAGAGCUUGCAGCAGCAGGGCAUGGUGGGCCUUCAGAACCAGCAGCAAAACCAAAUGCAGAACCAGAUGCAAAACCAGCUGCAGAAUCAGAUGCCGAACCCGAACUUCUCCCAGCAGAGGCAGCAAAACCAGCAAUGA